rnacentral:rRNA from 1 species
GGCCUACCAUGGUUUUAACGGGUAACGGGGAAUUAGGGUUCGAUUCCGGAGAGGGAGCCUGAGAAACGGCUACCACAUCCAAGGAAGGCAGCAGGCGCGCAAAUUACCCAAUCCCAACACGGGGAGGUAGUGACAAUAAAUAACAAUAUGGGGCCUUUACGGGUCUCGUAAUUGGAAUGAGUACAAUUUAAAUCUCUUAACGAGGAACAAUUGGAGGGCAAGUCUGGUGCCAGCAGCCGCGGUAAUUCCAGCUCCAAUAGCGUAUAUUAAAGUUGUUGCAGUUAAAAAGCUCGUAGUUGAAUUUCGGGAUCUAUCCGUCGGUCGGGCCUCACGGUCCGCACUGGUGUGAUGGAUUCCUACCUUCUGAAUAACCGGUAUGCCAUUAAUUUGAUGUGCCGGGGAAGCAGAACCAUUACCUUGAAAAAAUUAGAGUGCUCAAAGCAGGCCUAUGCCUGAAUACAUUAGCAUGGAAUAAUAAAAUAGGACGGCAUGGUUCUAUUUUGUUGGUUUCUAGGAUCACCGUAAUGAUUAAUAGGGAUAGUUGGGGGCAUUAGUAUUCAAUUGUCAGAGGUGAAAUUCUUGGAUUUAUUGAAGACUAACUUCUGCGAAAGCAUUUGCCAAGGAUGUUUUCAUUAAUCAAGAACGAAAGUUAGGGGAUCGAAGACGAUCAGAUACCGUCGUAGUCUUAACCCAUAAACUAUGCCGACUAGGGAUCGGGAUGAUGUUAAUUUUUUUAAUGACUCAUUCGGCGCCUUACG